rnacentral:lncRNA from 1 species
AUGACAAAAUCAGAUACUCUUAAGAGUAAGUCUGAUGCUCUAAGAUAUUAGAUUGUUCUCAAAAUCGUUAGAGGGAUACUAUUUCAUUGUUUUAACAGCUUCAUUUUGUCAUGUUUACAUGCUUACACACCAGAAUAAACAAUGUUCUAUUACAUUGGAGAGUUGGUUUUUAUUCAGUUACAUGAGUCUCUCGAGUAAUGAAAACUCACCUAAGCAACAUUUAACCUAUUUCUUGGCUGAGUUUCCUGUAGUUUAGCAACUAGCAUACAAUGAAUAGCUAUUUGAUUGGCACCCAUGUGCUCCAACAAGAAUAUCUCUAAAUUCAGAGAAAUCCAAACAAAAAGAAAGUAGUUGGUUGUACCAAUACAUUAAAAAAAGAAAAAGGAUAAUAAAAUAUAUUUAGACAAAAGAGCAAAUAAAAUAUUUUUUAUCCUUGUCAAGUCAUACAGUAGGCUUUUAUGACUUUCUGCUCUUAUAUCAUAAAGGCUAUAUCACAGGUAUUCUGUUGAGAUUUGCUUUAUGACUUUCCGCUCUUAUAUCAUAAAAGCUAUAUCACAUGGUAUUCUUUUGAGAUUUGCAAAUGAUGUUCUAACAUUUUAAAUUAAUUUCUAUAAUAAAGCAUUUUAGACUUUGAGUCUUCAGAAAAAUGCUCAUUUUCCCAUUUUUUCAAUAUCUGUCAACUAAUUCCCACACAUCUAUUUUGCUCAUUACAUUACUGAUCAUCCAGAGGAAAAAAAAAUCUUUCCAGCACAGCAUUUAGCAAUAAUCAGGAGGUGUGGAGUUUUGGUAACAUACUGUAGAGUUUCUCACCAAUCUUGUUUCUUAGUUUUGUGCACACAGAGGGACUAUAUUUUCCACAAUUUUAUGUAAUUAAAUUGAUACCCUAUGACUAGUUCUGAACAGUAGAAUGUAGAGAGUAGAGUAUACCCUAUUUUGCCCAGGUCCCUAAAAUUUCCUUAAGAACUUUGGCUAGGAAACUAAUCUCUUCUUUAUGACCACAAGUAAAGGAUUUCAGAUGCCAAAGGCGCACAGUAGAAAGAUGAUGGAGUCCAGAAUGACUACUAGAUGAAAGGUUCUCAGGAAAGAUUCCUCAUUAGCAUCAGAUAGUCAAAUUAGGAGCAAAAAUUAAGAAAUAACUUUUCAUUUGAUUAAUCCACUAAAACUUGAAAACUGUUCAUUUUAGCAGCUCAUGGUAAACGCCUUCAUGAUUUUAGAGUUAAAUACAGUGAUCCUGAGGUCAAAUAUAGUUAUCAGAUCUAUACUACAGAGCAAGCUGAUAUGUAUAAAUCCUCAUUUAAUUUCAGUCAUCUCAGAUACAUUCACCUAAUGAAGCUCUAUUGAACAGAAAUGGGAUAUUAGACUCUGAUAGAUGAGUUCCACAAAAAUCUGAACAUGCAAACUAUGGAAAAUCAUAAUCCUUACUGAGACCUGAAACCCAGUUUCUUCUCUCAUUUCCAACCAAUCCAAUAAAUUACUUCUGUCUUCCACUGCCCCAGCUAUUUGGAAAGUAGAGAUACUGAUUAUUGUGAGAAAAUUUACUUAAAAAAUAUAUUUUAUUUAUUUGACAAAGAGAACCAGAGAACACAAGUGGAGGGAGCAACGGAGGGGGAGGGAGAAGCAGGCUCCCCACAGAUGCAAGGCUGGAUCCCAGGAUCCCGGGAUCAUGGCCUGAGCAGAAGGCAUCUGCUUACCCAACUGAGCCACCCAGGUGCCCCAAGUGCUAUUUUUAACAGUCAGUAUGAGGAUACACUAAAAAUAUUGGUGAUAUACUUAAAACAAGCUAUAUUUUUUUGCAUUUAAAAAAGGAAAGCAAUCAGGUAUUCUGGAGAAAGUGUAGAAAUAGCAUACAAGAAAGUUACAAAAACAUAUUUGAAGAAGGUAAAAUACGUAAUGAUUACAAAAAUUGAUGGAGUUUAGAAAGAAUAUAUUUAACUGAAAUGCUGUGAAUAUCAUACAUAGAAUGAUAGGAAUAGAAACAUUGGGUGUAUAAGAAAAAAUCUUAGUACACACUUGUUCAGCAGUAAAGUUAAUAAAUACAUACAUACAUACAAAUAAAUAUCUCCUGUAAAUAUUCUUUUUCACUUAUUAGAAUUAACCUAUAACACUCGGAAAACUAAAAUAUUACCAGAGCAUAGGUGUUUUUAACCUGGAUGAUGUGGAAGUAAAGAUAUAACUGCAAAGGCUGGGAAGUAAAAGGGAGGAGUAGAAAUAGAGAUAAGAAUAGUAUUGCUACUAUCUUCAUACUUAUAUAAAGAUGAAUCAAAUGAUUCUGGAUAAUUAACAAGCUAAUAGUUGUAAGGAGAAGUUGAUAGGUUAUUGGAAAUAAUGUAAGGGGUUCAUAGCUUCAUCUUAAUUGCUAAGAGUCAAUAGACAAUGUCUAGAAUUAAUGCAAGAAAUACUAGCAUAGGUAUGCUAUUAAACAUUAUUUAAGUAGCCAAGAAGAGAAAACAAAUGGUUAUAUAUGUUUAUUUCCCAGUAUAGGGAAAUUUGACAACAGAUUUCUGUUGUAUAUUAUUGUAUUUGGUACUUAUUUUUUUAAUUGCAUGUUUUACUUCUUUCUUUUUUAAACAAGACUUAGUAAUGACAAGAGAAGAGAAAAAAGAAGACUUAAAGAAAACUGUAGUUAUAAGAAAGUACUGACUUAUAAGCAGGUGCCAGGCAAGACAAAACAUGGCACAUGUAGAAAUCUCCAACUAACCUCUGAGUGUAGAAGGAAACACAGGUGGAUAGGUAAUCUGUGUGGGGAGAUCCUCUCCCACUUUUGCAUGACAUUUGAGUGAGCUCUGGUGGUUGAUGGAUAAAUAGAAGAGCAAACUUCUUUAAACUCUAAUUCACUAAAAGUUGCCUAUUCUUUAAGAAGCUAGUCUUGGAGAGGCAGUAGGCAAAUUUUCAUAAGAGCCAAGGAAUAUCCUGGUUAGAA